GCGGCCAAAGUCCGAUAUCAAAUAUUUCGAUAUUUUCGCGCGAGUCGCUGCGCUGGCCAAUAAGGCGCAUGCGCAAGAAAGCUCUGACCGUGCAGUACACGGAAGGUGCAUGCGCAGGAAGGCCGUGUACUAAUAUUGCGGUCUCUCACGAAGGACAUAACAAGCUAUUCCCUUAUGUCAUAUGACACCCCAUCCUCCUUAUGCAGCUGGCAUAGCUCGCUUGUUAUCGCUUACGUAGACAUUGCCUUAAGGUUGAUAGUCAAAGACACAUUCAUGUAAAACAAGACAAGUCAUAGAUAAUGUUUCUAUUCUAUUUCUAAUACUAUUCUACCUUUAUACAAGAUGAUGUGGAUGAAAGAAGAGCAAGGUGGGUUGUUGGUGGUGGUGGAGGAUUCCCCCCCCCCAUCAUAAUUUACAAUCCAACACAGCGCUAGUUAUGGGGACAGCCACACUGCACGCGUUUCGCUUGGCGGGAACGCGAUUGUAACAAACAACAGUAACCUUGGGUAUAGUGCACGACUGUAAUCGUAGACUUGCAAGGAAUGCAGGAAGUCCGAAUCGUUAAAGGCCGGCGCUAUCUUUGCUUCUUCAGUCUUGGCAUGUAGCAAGGUUACAGUCAUACACUUGUAAACAAUAUUACCACAAUACAAGAAAGAGUGAUAAUAUCCAGGAGGGCCACCAGAUAACCGGUAACAAGCGUUGGACUAAGGGAUGUGGCUACGGGGGACGGCACCAUGCUGUGGUCACCGAAUGUUGAUAUAAUCAAAACAGAAGAUGAUGUGGAUGUUCUUGGUGAAGAAGAUUCCACUGGCAUGAUACCUGACGAGUUUUACGUACCAUCAGCAUUUUCCACAGUAAAGACUGAACCCAAGAGUCCAUUGAAUGAACAUCAACUUAUGCAUGGUGAGGAUCAUUCAUAUUCCUUUGAUAACUACAAUAAAGCACUCAGUCAGAAUACUGUAUAGAACUAUCAAAGCAUACAUACAGGAGAGCAUCCAUAUGACUGUGAUGUGUGCGAUAAAUCAUGUAGUAGAAAGGACAGCCUCAAGAUACAUCAGCGCCUACAUAGUGAGUUAUCUACAGAGACAUCAUUGGAGAUACAGUUGAGAGCAUCCCUAAUCUUGUCAGAUAUAGGAUAUUUUAAUGUGGUGCCAAAUGGGCAGACGGCUCGCACUGGAGAGGUGGGGCCGCACUACUCCUCUCCUUGACUAGUGGAUGUGGGAUAUGUGUGUGGAUAUCACGGAGUGUUGCAGGAUGUAGAGUUCCCUCGCCAAGAGGAAGGUUCAGGAAACAGAACAUGGGAGAUCCUUAGCCUGGAAAGUUCGAAGAACGGGCUGCCGCACAUAAAAGUCUCUUCCCCGAGUGCUGGUGGUCCUGCGUGUAUCCAACAUGGCCCAGUGUGGAACAGUAAAGUGAACAGUGAGGGAACUAGCGAGCUAGUGAGAGCGAGAAGCCAUCGAGCAGUCCAGUGUGGUGCUGAGAGCCAAAGGCUGUGUGAAGAGCGCUGAGUUUGUGAACUGGAAUGGCUGAGGAGCCGUUGAGCAGUCCAGUGUGGUGCUGAGAGCCGAAGGCUGUGUAUUAAGAGCACUGAGUUUGUGGACUGGAGCAGGUUACGAGCCAUCUAGCAGUCCAGUGUGGUGCGGCAAGCCGAGGGCUGUGUUGUGAAGAUUGCCAAGUUUGGGGGCCGGAACAGCUCAAGAGAUAGUAUUCGGGGACAGAACUGAGUUUGUGUAGCGUACUUGAAGAGUUAGAGUCUUAGCAACUGUUUUGUCCAAUUUUCAUGUGUGUAGACUACCGUAAAUUGUUUGUUAAGUAAAUCAUGUUUGACAUAGAACCUAAGUAGUAGUCGUCGUCGUCAUCACAAUAUUUUUCUGCUCUAAGAUUCUGAAUAAAUGUCACCCCAUGCAUGUGUGCAGUACAUAAGAGUAUGUUCCAGGAUCAUUCAUUUCUUGACUCUUAAGACAUAUAGUUGGAACAAAAAUUAUAUUUUGUUAUUUGAUUGUUUUGUUCAGUAACAUAACACUAGAUUUUACUUGUUUUUAAAUGUUUGGAAUAUGUAGCCAUUACUGUACAUAAGAUAUUGUAGAACUGAAGAGAUGGAACACAGUUCAUUUCCAGAAAAGUUCUGAGAGUUAAACUGGCCUCUAGAAUCUUCAACUAAAUAAUUAUUCAACAUACCCAUCCAAACCUUAAACAGUGAGAUUCACACAUUCUUGAGAAGACCUGGGAACAUGUAGGGAUCAAAACAAUGAUCUCACUCUCACAUCUUCAUCAUCUAACAGCCAAGGUCAGUCUGUGGUUGCUUUUUUAUUUGUGGUGUUAGGGUAUUUGUUUCUUUGUCAUCCGGAUUAUCAAGUCAGUAAGCACCUCUAAAAUCUCAGUCGGUUUAUCGCUGACUACAAGGAGCUACAUCUCUGAAGACAGUUAAUUUCAUUUAGCUGUUUUGAGAAUUUAAGAUCUCACAAUUUGUUGCCCUGUUCCAUCUUCACUAAUCAAAAAACUCUCUUCUAAGGUCACUUUUUAUUAUGUAGUUCUUUUUUAUGGUUUAUUUAACAACAGUCAAUUACUCAGGCUAUAUAGUGUCAAGUGAUAUAAUUGAUAAUAAAUUACAAAGGGAAUGGAACAAAACGGUCAUAGCCUGAUUGAAUGUUGUAUCUUGGAAUUUGUUUCGAUGGAGUAAGAGCCUAUUUGCUUAACAUUGGCAAAAUGAAAAAAAAAUUCAGAGGCAGAGAAGUUUAGGAUAAAAUGUAGAUAAAUACAGAUGAUUGUACCUCAUAGAAACAAUGAUAAAACAGGCAAUGAUCACAAACGGACCGAAGACAGUCGCUACCUACAUGGCAGUCCAUUGUUUUCACUAUUAAACAGUAUGGAACAAUGUUUAUAUUCCAUAGAUCCUUCAUAGUACAAGCCAAGGAUGUGGGAAACAUCUUAAUAUUAAUACCAACACUUCAUACAAAUAUGACUUGAUAGUUGUAGCAACUAUUUACUAUGCAUCAUAAGUUUCAAUUGAAAUAAAUUCUAGUGUGCAAGCAGUGACAAAAAAGAAAAAGAAAGAAAGAAUCUUUCAAUGCUGGCUUAAACACUGAAAUUAAUGUUAUAUUAAUUUAACUUUUAAUGCCAAAUGGAAGUGUAAUGGUUACUUAAUCCUUGCCUAACAAGCACAAUUCUCUUAAAUCCUUUCAUACCUUGCAGUGUUGAAUAUUUAUCUAAAAUAAAUUGUUUGUACAAUACAAUAUUUUAUUUUUGCUGUAGAUCAAAAAUACACUGAUACAGGAUAUGUCAAUCUAAAUUAUACAUUAUCAAAAUACAAUAAUGAUGAAGAUAUAAUCCCAUUGGAGAUAUACAUUAGAUUAUCAGUAGACAAUAUUUGAAAAUUCUUCAUUAAGAUAGUCUUCUAGUGAAUAAUAAUAACCCCUUAAUAAGAAAGUCCUUCAAUUCCUUCUUAAAACUCAUUUUUUAUUUGUUUUAUUAUGGUAGGCAGUUUGUUAUAGAAGAUAACCUGCUACUUACGGUUUACUCUCAUAAAAUUCUAACUUGUGUACAUAUUUAUGAUAGUCUUAUUAUUUUUUGUGUUAUAUGUAUAUUCUUGUUUGUUUACAGUUCAGACACUUAUGCAUAUAAAAUGGUUUCUUGAAUGUAUAA